rnacentral:rRNA from 1 species
GACGACCGCUGGCCGCAGGACUAACACAUGCAACACGAACGACUGGCGGACGGGCGAGUAAUGUCUGGGAAACUGCAUGCUGGAGGGGGAUAACCACCGGAAAAGGUAGCAAAUACAGCACACCAUCGGAUGUGCCCAGAUGGGAUUAGCUAGUAGGUGGGGUAAAGGCACAACUCGGCGACGAUCCCUAGCUGGUCUGAGAGGAUGACCAGCGACGCUGUAACUGAGACACGGUCCAGACUCCUACGGGAGGCAGCAGUGGUGAAUAUUGCACAAUGGGCGCAAGCCUGAUGCAGCCAUGCCGCGUGUAGGAAGAAGGCCUUCGGGUUGUAAAGUACUUUCAGCGGGGAGGCGGUACCCGAAGAAGAAGCACCGGCAAACUCCGUGCCAGCAGCCGCGGUAAUUC